UCGACGGUAACAGAAAUCAGCUUGCUGAUUUGCUGACGAGUGGCGGACGGGUGAGUAAUGUCUGGGAAACUGCCUGAUGGAGGGGGAUAACUACUGGAAACGGUAGCUAAUACCGCAUAACGUCGCAAGACCAAAGAGGGGGACCUUCGGGCCUCUUGCCAUCGGAUGUGCCCAGAUGGGAUUAGCUAGUAGGUGGGGUAACGGCUCACCUAGGCGACGAUCCCUAGCUGGUCUGAGAGGAUGACCAGCCACACUGGAACUGAGACACGGUCCAGACUCCUACGGGAGGCAGCAGUGGGGAAUAUUGCACAAUGGGCGCAAGCCUGAUGCAGCCAUGCCGCGUGUAUGAAGAAGGCCUUCGGGUUGUAAAGUACUUUCAGCGGGGAGGAAGGGAGUAAAGUUAAUACCUUUGCUCAUUGACGUUACCCGCAGAAGAAGCACCGGCUAACUCCGUGCCAGCAGCCGCGGUAAUACGGAGGGUGCAAGCGUUAAUCGGAAUUACUGGGCGUAAAGCGCACGCAGGCGGUUUGUUAAGUCAGAUGUGAAAUCCCCGGGCUCAACCUGGGAACUGCAUCUGAUACUGGCGAGCUUGAGUCUCGUAGAGGGGGGUAGAAUUCCAGGUGUAGCGGUGAAAUG
rnacentral:rRNA from 1 species